rnacentral:rRNA from 1 species
CCUACGGGAGGCUGCAGUGGGGAAUAUUGCUCAAUGGGGGAAACCCUGAUGCAGCGACGCCGCGUGAGUGAAGAAGGCCUUCGUGAUUUAAAGCUCUAUCAGCAGGGAAGAAAAUGACGGUACCUGAGUAAGAAGCCACGGCUAACUACGUGACAGCAGCCGCGGUCAUACGUCGGGGGCAAGCGUUAUCCGGAUUUACUGGGGGUAAAGGGAGCGUAGACGGCAGUGCAAGACUGGAGGGAAAGGCGGGGGCUCAACCCCCGUACUACUCUGGAAACUGUACGGCUGGAGUGCAGGAGAGGUAAGUGGAAUUCCUGGUGUAGCGGUGAAAUGCGUAGAUAUUAGGCGGAACACCAGUGGCGAAGGCGGCUUACGGGACUGUAACUGACGUUGAGGCUCGAAAGCGUGGGGAGCAAACAGGAUUAGAUACCCGAGUAGUC